rnacentral:rRNA from 1 species
GACGAACGCUGGCGGCGUGCUUAACACAUGCAAGUCGAACGGAAAGGCUUGGUUCUUGCGGGGGGCGCGUGUGGGGAGCGGGGGUGAGACAUGCGAGUAUACCCUGCCCUAGUCUGGGGGAUCUUCAGGGAACAGGGGGUAAUAUAGGAUAGGCGACCUUGCUGCACGGGGGGGGGUGGGGAGUUUGGGUGGUUGGGGUUGGAUUGGCGGCUGGCCUGCUUGUUGGUGGGGGAGUGGCUUACCAAGGCUUCGACGGGUAGCCGGCCUGAGAGGGUGACCGGCCACAUUGGGACUGAGACACGGCCCAGACUCCUACGGGAGGCAGCAGUGGGGAAUAUUGCACAAUGGGCGGAAGCCUGAUGCAGCGACGCCGCGUGCGGGAUGACGGCCUUCGGGUUGUAAACCGCUUUCGGCUCUGACGAAGCGAGAGUGACGGUACUGGGAGAAGAAGCACCGGCUAACUACGUG